rnacentral:rRNA from 1 species
UCAAGCGUUUAAGGGCGUGUGGCGGAUGCCUUGGCACUGAAAGCCGAUGAAGGACGUGAUAUACUGCGAUAAGUUUCGGGGAGCUGUAUGUAAGUUUUGAUCCGAAAAUUUCCGAAUGGGGAAACCCACCACUUUAUGUGGUACUUUAAACUGAAUUCAUAGGUUUAAAGAGCAAACCCGGAGAACUGAAACAUCUAAGUAACCGGAGGAAAAGAAAUCAAUUGAGAUUCCGUUAGUAGUGGCGAGCGAACGCGGAACAGGCCAGUAACAAUUUUAAAAUAAUUUGAAUAGUCUGGAAAGACUAGCCAAAGAUGGUGAUAGCCCAGUAGAAGUAAUGUUUAAAAUUGUUCUUGAGUAGAGCGGGACACGUGUAAUCUUGUUUGAAUAUAGGGGGACCACCCUCUAAGCCUAAAUACUCUUCAGUGACCGAUAGUGAACUAGUACCGUGAGGGAAAGGUGAAAAGAACCCCUAUUAGGGGAGUGAAAUAGAACCUGAAACCGUAUGCCUACAAACAGUCGAAGCUCUUUUUAGAGUGACGGCGUACCUUUUGUAUAAUGGGUCAGUGACUUAAUUUAUAAAGCAAGCUUAAGCCAUCUAGGUGUAGGCGUAGCGAAAGCAAGUCUUAAUAGGGCGAUUAGUUUUAUGAAUUAGACCCGAAAACGAAUGAGCUUACCAUGAGCAGGUUGAAAGUUGGGUAACACCAACCGGAGGACCGAACCAGUUGACGUUGAAAAGUCUUUGGAUGACUUGUGGUAAGGGGUGAAAGGCCAACCAAAUUCGUAGAUAGCUGGUUUUCCGCGAAAACUAUUUAGGUAGUGCGUUGAAUAAAUUUAUGUUUGGAGGUAGAGCACUAAACGGGCUAGGGGGGAGAAAUCUUUACCAAACCUGAUAAAACUCCGAAUGCCAGACAUAUUACUUCAACAGACAGACUGUGGGUGCUAAGGUCCAUGGUCGAGAGGGAAAGAGCCCAGACCACCAGAUAAGGUCCCAAAAUUAUGAUUAAGUGUGAAAGGAUGUGGAAAUUCCUUAACAGCCGGGAGGUUGGCUUAGAAGCAGCCAUCCUUUAAAGAUAGCGUAACAGCUCACCGGUCUAAUUAAGAGACUUUGCGCCUAAGAUGUAACGGGGCUAAAACCAUACACCGAAGUUGUGGAUUUAAAAAAGUCUUCGGACUUUUUUAUCUGGUAGCGGAACGUUCUGUAAGCCUGCGAAGAGAGACCCGCGAGGGCUCUUGGAGGUAUCAGAAGUGCGAAUGCUGACAUAAGUAACGACAAACAGAGUGAAAGACUCUGUCGCCGAGAGUUCAAGGGUUCCUGCGUAAAGUUAAUCUUCGCAGGGUUAGCCGGCCCCUAAGACGAGGACGAAAGUCGUAGUCGAUGGGAAUCAGGUAAAUAUUCCUGAGCCUGGUGGUAGUGACGGAUCAUGUAAAUUGUUAACUCUUAUUGGAUUGAGUUGGCUGUGAAAUGGUCCCAGGAAAUAGCUCCACCAUAAGACCGUACCCCAAACGGACACACGUGUACCGGUAGAGUAUACCUAGGCGCUUGAGAGAAUGAUGUUGAAGGAACUCGGCAAAAUGCUUCCGUAACUUCGGGAUAAGGAAGACCCUCCUGUAGGCAACUAUGGAAGGGUGGCACAAGCCAGGGAGAAGCGACUGUUUAUCAAAAACACAGGGCUCUGCUAACACGUAAGUGGAUGUAUAGGGUCUGACGCCUGCCCGGUGCUGGAAGGUUAAUGCGGUUGGUGCAAGCUAACUUCUGAAGCCCCAGUAAACGGCGGCCGUAACUAUAACGGUCCUAAGGUAGCGAAAUUCCUUGUCGGGU